AGGAUUAUAAUUUAAUUAAAAAUAUUUAAAUUGCAAUUAAACUUUGUUAACUUUAACUAAUCUUA
rnacentral:tRNA from 1 species